CCUACGGGUGACAGCAGUGAGGAAUAUUGGUCAAUGGGCGCGAGCCUGAACCAGCCAAGUCGCGUGAGGGAAGACGGUCCUAUGGAUUGUAAACCUCUUUUGUCGGGGAGCAAAAGACGCCGCGCGUGGCGUUCCGAGAGUACCCGAAGAAAAAGCAUCGGCUAACUCCGUGCCAGCAGCCGCGGUAAUACGGGGGAUGCGAGCGUUAUCCGGAUUUAUUGGGGUUAACGGGUGCGCAGGCGGAAGAUCAAGUCAGCGGUAAAAUUGAGGGGCUCAACCCCUUCGAGCCGUUGAAACUGGUGUGCUUGAGUGAGUGAGAGGUAUGCAGAAUGCGUGGUGUAGCGGUGAAAUGCAUAGAGAUCACGCAGAACUCCGAUUGCGAAGGCAGCAUACCGGCGCUCAACUGACGCUCAUGCACGAAAGUGUGGGUAUCGAACAGGAUUAGAUACCCUAGUAGUC
rnacentral:rRNA from 1 species